rnacentral:rRNA from 1 species
UCUGGUUGAUCCUGCCAGUAGUCAUAUGCUUGUCUCAGAGAUUAAGCCAUGCAUGUCUAAGUACAAACCUUCAAACGGUGAAACCGCGAAUGGCUCAUUAAAUCAGCUAUGGUUCCUUGGAUCGUACAUACUACAUGGAUAACUGUAGUAAUUCUAGAGCUAAUACAUGCCACUAUGCCCUGACCCGCAAGGGAACGGGUGGAUUUAUUAGAACAGAACCAACCGGCGGUGACUUCGGUUGCUGUCGUUGCAUUCUGUGAUGACUCUGGAUAACUUUACUGAUCGCAGUCGGCCUUGUGUCGGCGACGGAUCUUUCAAAUGUCUGCCCUAUCAAUUUUCGAUGGUAGGUGACCUGCCUACCAUGGUGAUAACGGGUAACGGGGAAUCAGGGUUCGAUUCCGGAGAGGGAGCCUGAGAAACGGCUACCACUUCCAAGGAAGGCAGCAGGCGCGCAAAUUACCCAAUCCCGGCACGGGGAGGUAGUGACGAAAAAUACGGAUACGGGACUCAUUAGAGGCUCCGUAAUUCGAAUGAGUACAAUUUAAAUCCUUUAACGAGGAUCAACUGGAGGGCAAGUCUGGUGCCAGCAGCCGCGGUAACUCCAGCUCCAGAAGCGUAUAUUAAAGUUGUUGCAGUUAAAAAGCUCGUAGUUGGAUCUGGGUCGCAUGGCUACAUGCCGUUGCUCGUAUUCCUGGCCUGGUUCACACCGGGACGGGUUUGUGAGUCGGUGUCGUGGUUGUGCAGCCUUUCUGCCGUGUCUGCUGUACCGUACAUCCGCCUCAUGGCUGAAAAAACAUGUUCCAAAUACGAAAUUCCAGAAAAGAAUGCCCAGACGCACAAGGAAGCUUUGAGGGAAUAAAACAACACCGACACAAGUAUAUGUAUUUAUUUAAUGAAAUAUUGUAUGAUACAAGUGGCAAUGCAUGCGUUCGCUGGGCACCAGCGGCAG